rnacentral:lncRNA from 1 species
UUAUUAAAGGUGAAACUUUGGUCAUUUUAAAUAACAACCAAACAAACCCAUUGUUUCUGAAAAUCUGUGUUUUGGCUGGCUUAGUUUUCACUUUUUUUUCAUGUUUGUCACACUCCAUCUGGUUUUGUGUACUCAGUGUCUUUUCUUCUCUGCCAAGUUGUUUUUUUCCAAUGUACAUACAUCACUCUACAUCUUCAAAGUAUUUUACAUAUGCUACAUGCUGGAUUUCCCCAAUGCUUUCAAACGAGCUUUAAAUGAGCUUUGAAAUGAGCUCUUCGUGUUUUUCUCAUGAGCUUCUAAAAUCCUUACUACGUGGCUCUUCUUUUAUUUGACUCCAAAGAAAACAAAUUUCAUUUACACACUGAAAGUGGCAAAUCCUCAUCGUGUUUUUAUUGUCCCAGAGUAUUCAAUAUUGGUUUAGCACAUACUUGGUGUCAAGCAGUGUGCAGUGGAUCCUGUUACCUAGACACUGGGGUGAUGACUUUGAGGUACCCGUAUCUCAGGGGAGAGGACACAUGUGUGCCUUUUGAUGAACAGUUGUGCUAAGUACAAGGUUCCCAGAACAAUGAGAGUGAGAAUGUAGAAAGCAGUGAUGAGGGCAGCAUUAGGAACUUCCUAAAAGCCCUUUCCACAACCAACUCAGUAAAUACCACCGACUGGGAAACAACAAAUUGUUACUGAGUUUGAGUGAAAAGCUACAAAUGAUUUUCAACUGCUUGAGCAUGACACCAGUGGGAUCCAUGGAAGAAUACUGUGAGAACCACAAGACCAUUUCAUCUUCUACAAAAGGCAGCAGCAGCCUGCUUGCUCAAGGGUCUCAGGCAGAUGGAUCAUAUUAACAUCUGUGGACUGUUCGGCUUGCACUGGCUACUAGGGUGUUUCUGGAUGCUGUUCAAAGGACUGACUUUGAUCUAUGGUGCUGUGUACAUUUUAAGCCAGAAACUAUUUAUCCAAAAAAAAAAAAAAAUCACCCACAGUGGGCAAGAUGAAACGGGACCAUUGUUGAAGCUGCUCACACCAUAACUUUAAGUUAGACCUUUAUCAACCAUGACUACCAAUUGGGAGAUUCAAGGCCAUGUUCUCUUCACUCCUGACUUGAAAGCCUCAUAGAGAAAAAAAGAUAAACCCUCCUAUAGCGUGGUGUUUAAGCACUAUAGAGAAACCUAAGUACUCUGAUAGAGUCAAUUCUUAUUUAGCACCUUGCGCAUCUCACUUAAGAUAUAUAGCCAAAAAAUUAAACAGAACAUCUUUCUUAAUUUCAGCUAUUAUUUUAUAUAUGUGAAGAGUUAUUAUUUUUAUUUUAGAUUCUAAAAUUUGGAAUCUUAAAUUUUGAAGUAAUCUAUGUAAUUCACGGUAACCCCCCACCGCAAAAAAAGAACUAUUCUAAGCAAAUAAACUAAAAGGACAAAAAGAAUUAAAAUUGCCCCUCAUUCUUCUACCCAAGUUUUCUCUGACUUUUAUAAUGAAUUUAAUUUCAAUGGAAGGAUAUGUACCCUUCAUUAACUAAAUAAAUAAGUGUCACUGUAUUCAUUAAGUAAAACACAGUGCUAUGUGAUAAGAUUUUUUUAAUACUUAAAACAUAGUCUGAAUGCAAAGAAUCUACAUAAAUGAUUAAAAGCAAUAUUUGCAGUAGUACAGUAUUAUAAUUGUAAAACUCAAAGAAUACUUUUCCAUUUUGUUUAUUUUUGAGAUUGUAUUAUAAUUAUAACAUUUCUCCCUUCUCUGUCCCUCUACCCUACCCAAGCCCUUUCAUGUACCCCUCAUUGCUCUCCUUCAAAUGCACGGCCUCUUUUUUCAGCAAUUGUUAUUGCAUACAUAUAUGUAUAUACAGAUAUAAUCACAAUUAUAAUCUAUUGAGUCUAUAUAAUGUUAAUUGUAUGUAUGAUUUCAGGGCUAUUUAAAAGACUAAAAACUAAAGUGUACUGAGGGCAUCAAAAUAGAACUCAUUACUUAUGAUACUUAAGCUCGACGUUGAAGAACUCAGGUGUGCUAGAUAUAUGGGUGACAGCAAGAGGAAGUUAUCAACCACUCACUGGAUCAAAUAACACGGGCUUAACACCUGAGCUCUACCCACCUGACACACAUCACCAAUGUCACCUUUUAAGUUUCGUAAUUGCUCUGUGCCAUAGUGUUCUCAUUACUAUAAAAUGAGGGUAAUAAUAUUUACCUCAAAGAACAGCUGGCAUUCAAAUGAACUAUGUACUUCCACAGUGGUAGUUAUUACUACAGGACUAUGUGAAAUGCCAAAAUGAUUUGAGACUGGUUAACACCUGGGCCUUAAGUACAGGGAAAAAUAGUGAAGAACAUGGAGUUGCAGAGAGAGUAGGAAAAUCCAAUGAGGAACACACUAAAUUACUUGUCGGGCCAUGCAGUUUGGCCUUUGUGUCUGAAGUAGAGGAGCCCCAACUAUGAUCUGUAAGGUAGAAGACUGAGAUACGAGCAUCUGUAUCAUGGCCUGGGAAUCUAGUGAGUAUGCAAAGAAUGGGCUUCAAGUGGAAAGAGACUGGAGCCCGGGAUGGCAGUUCAAUUAGUUCAGGUGACUGCCCCACUGGGAACUGCUGGCAGUGACCACAUCUUAUUCUAAUUUCCCACACUUUUAAUAAAAGGCUUAAAAACUUUGUUUUUAUUUGACCAACAUAACACACACAUGAGAGAGAGAGAGAGAGAGAGAGAGAGAGAGAGAGAGAGAGAGAGAGAGAUCAGAGAACAUAAAAACGACACAUUGACACAUCAUUUUAUAUUUCCUCUCCUUCAAGCAUGUCAAGAACCUUCGAAGUGUUAUGCACAUCUCACCUGUGUGAGCUUGAGUCUCCUCUGAACCCAGACCAGGCUGCUUUUCAGGAAGGUUCAGAGGCACACUGCAUUCAAAUCCACAGAGAAGCAAGUGGAGGGGACAGAUUUAAACACACAUAGAAACCGAAGAAUCAGCUCUUGAUAAACUCACAUUAGGAAAUGCAUUUCAGGACAGGUUAGGCUGAAAGGUGUGUGAAAGGUGUGACUUUUGGAAAGUAGAAACCAGACAGGAAAAGGAGCCUGGUGUUUAAACCAGCUUCACUAAUAGAUCCAGAGCUUGCUAAUGGCUUGGAGAAUGAUAAUAUACACAAGUGGGAUUUGAAUAUCAACAAUGACAUUGCUAGGAAAAUAUGCUUCUUUUCAUUUCACACAUGAGCAAAGCAUCACUGUUUUAAUUUGUUUUGGCUUUUGGUUUAUGUGUAUCUUUACACUGGCCACUAUAUCUCAUUUAAAGUGUUGUUUGCAAUAUUUAUCGGAAGGAAGGAAUUAAAGCCAUUUUACAUCAGAGUCUUUUAAAACUUGAGAGUCAGGUCUAAGGAAAGAAGCCCAUAUUGUUCUAACACAUCUCUGCUUCCACAGUUGACAGAGAUAAGAGGUAUUUCGUUAAGUUAUUUUUUUUAAGACAAGGUCUCAUUUUGUGGCUCAAACAGGCUUGAAACUCACUAUAUAGCUCCAGUUGGUCUCUACCUCAGGAUCCUACUAUAGCAGCCUCCAAAGUUACAGGCCUGGGGUUACCACCUGCACAAGUACACCUGAUUCAUAGGUGAAAUACACAUAACUUUUUCCUUUAAAAUACGAAAUUGCCCUUUCCAGUCUAAUAAACAUAAGUAUUGACUCAAGUGUGCUAGCACCCCUAAAUUCAAAUGAAGCUUCCCAGUACAUACAUGUUUAAAGCCGUUGUAAAUUUUUUGAGAAAAAAAUCUCUACCACUGAAUUGCACAAAGGAAAAUCUAUGGUUCGUACCAAGGGGUGGGAAUAACCAAAUGAUGAUAUGUCUGUAAAUUCGAUGUUAUAAUAAACCAGCUGCCAGGUCUGGUGUGGGGCUUUUCAUGCUAAGACUGGGUAGUGGAAAAUGUUAAGGAGAAAUUUUCCAUUCAUCUUGCAUUCUUCACUGCUUAGAAAUAUGAACCACCUGUAAAGGGAGCCUCAGGGGAUUAACCAAACCAUGCAGAUUACCCACUAAUGGUUCAGACCCCCUCCUGUUUGAAAUGCAGCUCUUUUUUCCUUCUGAACAUUUCAUGAUCUCUUCCACUAAUUAUCUGGAAUUCGUUUGUAAUAAAUGCCUUAUGUUUCCUCUACCGAGGCUGGCUUGUUCCCUCACAUUUCACUUCUGUGUGAUGUGAGCACCAAAAUAGAAUUCCAAAAGAAGAAAAGAUAAACUUUUGGUUAAGUCAUGUUUGUUUUAGAAAAAGGAAAGGAAAUAGAAGUGUUUAUUUGGGCUGGGCUGAACACUGGGGUCAUUGCAUUUUCUCUGGCAAUUCUUUCUUUUCCUACUGCACCACAGACAGGAAAUACAGUUUCUUAAUACGGAAGGAAAUCAACAGGUCAUUGGAUGGAAUGUGCAAAGAGGUUAAGAGCUUUUCAAAGAUGCUGUUCCAAGGUUACUUAGCCUGUUGGGCCUCAGGACUCCUGAAAAGUUCCUAAGCAUGAAUGUUCUGAAGCUAGCAUCUUCAGCAACCCGAAUCGAGAUGUCACUAAGAAACACCUAGUCUCUCUGUCUUCUAUUGAUACAGAAAUUUAUUUCUUGAUGAUAUAAUAAAAGCAGUUUUAGAAGGCAUGUUUCAGUUGUUGAGAAUAAAAGAGCUUAAAGGUCAUUUUGAUCAUGGCUCUAUGAGCUUUUAGACCGGUGUUCUCAAGUCAGGGCAAUCUGUCCUCCCCCCUCCCCUGUAUUAUUGACAUACAUACAGAGGGGUGUGAGACAGCCUCUAGGCAAGGAAUCCUCCUCCGACUGCCAACAGUGUUGGCACAGAGAACACAUGGGGCAGACAAGUGGUUAUCUCCACACUUCAGUUCAUCAGCUUUAAAAGGACAUCAUUGGAAAUUUCACCCAAUCUCUUGCAUGCUCUGUAACCAUAGAAGCUAUCUUUUAUUAUGUGGGAGUCAAGGACUCUACUUACAUGACACAGUUCUUUCAUAUCUCCAAUGAACUCAGUCAAAGAAAGCCACUUCACAGAUGCCUUCUGAACAGUCUACCAGAGAACAGCUCAGCUCUGGUCAGUGUGGAUGCAGGAGAGCAUAAAAAUGUAUCAACAGAAAUGAAGACCUACCUGCAGUGGGCCUUACAAUUGAUAUCCAUCCAAUCCUGGCCCAGUUAUCCAAGAGACACGGUCUUGAAGGGAUAACUACCUGGCUUACUGAAUGGUCCAUAAUAGGUUAAGGAUAGCACUGGGGUGAUUCAGUGGGUCAGGAAAAAGCACAAAAGCUGAAACUUUUGUCCAGUCUAGACAUUAGAUGGCAGCAAUAAUGAGGGACAAUGAGUGGUAUAAUCAUGAUUAAAGGUGCAUAGUCCCUGCCUCGAGUUGGUGGGGCACGCCUUUAAUCCCAGCAUUCGGGAGGCAGAGGCAGUUGGAUUUCUGUGAGUUCAAGGCCAGCCCGGUGUACAGAGCAAGUUCCAGGACAGCCUCCAAAGCCACAGAGAAACCCUGUCUCGGAAAAAAAAAAGUACAUGCAUAGUCCUAAUCAUUACAAUAGUGUCUUGUAACUAUUUCAAGGAUUGCACAGACCAUCCCUCAGUUAUUUAAUAUAAUGAAUUAAACAAAGGCUUCCAUUUUAUUAACAGUCCAUCUUUCUCUUUUGUUCUAUCAAUUCUAUUUUCCACUGGAAUAACACAGCAG